UACGUAGGGGGCAAGCGUUGUCCGGAUUUAUUGGGCGUAAAGAGCGUGUAGGCGGCCAGACAAGUCUGCUGUGAAAACUCGAGGCUCAACCUCGAGCUGUCGGUGGAAACUGUCUGGCUAGAGUCCGGAAGAGGAGAGUGGAAUUCCUGGUGUAGCGGUGAAAUGCGCAGAGAUCCGGAGGAACCCCAGAGGCGAAGGCGGCGCCCUGGCUCGCAACUGACGCUCAGACACGACAGCAUGGGGAGCGAACGGG
rnacentral:rRNA from 1 species